AUAUCAAUAAGCGGAGGAAAAGAAACCAACAGGGAUUGCCUCAGUAACGGCGAGUGAAGCGGCAAGAGCUCAGAUUUGAAAUCCGGCCUCGGCCCGAGUUGUAAUCUGUAGAGGAACGUUCGGCGAUGCUGCCGGUCCAAGUCUUCUGGAACGGAGCGUCUUGGAGGGUGAGAACCCCGUAGCGACCGGCGAGCAGAGCCGCGUGAACGUCCUUCGAAGAGUCGAGUUGUUUGGGAAUGCAGCUCAAAACGGGUGGUAAAUUCCAUCUAAAGCUAAAUAUUGGCCAGAGACCGAUAGCGCACAAGUAGAGUGAUCGAAAGAUGAAAAGCACUUUGGAAAGAGAGUGAAACAGUACGUGAAAUUGUUGAAAGGGAAGCGCUUGCAACCAGACUUGAUUCCGGUCGUUCUGUUCGUCUCCGACGGGCUCACUCGACCGGGAGCAGGCCAGCAUCAGUUCCGGCGGUCGGAAAAAGGCUUGGGGAAUGUGACUCCCUUCGGGGAGUGUUAUAGCCCCUCGCACAAUACGGCCAGGCGGGACUGAGGAUCGCGUUCGCUUGGAUGUUGGCGUAAUGGUUGUCAGCGG
rnacentral:rRNA from 1 species